GGGCGAUUGGCUCAGCGGUAGAGCGCUUCGUUCACACCGAAGAGGUCACUGGUUCGAUCCCAGUAUCGCCCA
rfam:Modestobacter marinus str. BC501 chromosome, complete genome.